rnacentral:lncRNA from 1 species
ACACUGUAAUUUCAAAAGAGUCAAAAUGAACUCAAAAGAGUCGUUCUGGGGUCAAAUUUCAUUUUGACUAUUUUCAAUUUACAGUGUGAUGAGUAUAUAGAAUAGGUCACUUUCUUCGACAGACAGCAUAUGGUUAUUUAAAUAUACGAUAAACCCUGUAUCAAGCUCCCAGGGGACUUUUUUAGUGCAGUCAUGUUUAGGGUGUGUGUAGGUUAUUCGAGGAGGGGAGAGGGGGCAAAUCAAGAAGGGUGGGGUAUUGUUUCGCCUGAAACGCAGUAAGUGAGAAAUGCAGCAAAUCAUCGUGAAUUUUCUGACUAAUUGAUAAAUCUAGUCA